rnacentral:rRNA from 4 species
ACUCUAAUCAACGGAUGUCUUGGCUCCUUACACGAUGAAGAACGUUGCAUAAUGUGAUAAGUAACUGGAGUUGCGAACAUUGUGACAAGUUAAUCUUUGAAUGCAAAUUGCGCGUACCUUUGCUCUCGGGCAUUGGUUGCAUGUAUGCCACAGUACUGCA